AUUAAGCCUUGCUUCAUGGUUGUCAUUAAUUCGUUCUUUGCUAUGCAUUCUUGAAAUGCCUUAAAUAACAUAUGUCUGAUAUCUUUCCAAAAGAAUCUAUAUAAUUCGGCUGUGAGCCCGUCCGUACCCGGGGAUUUAUUCGAUGAUAUUUAUUCGAUGACAAUUUUUAAUUCUGACUCAGAAAGUUCUUUAAAUGAAUCAUCAAUCUUGGGUAUAAUGUCUUUAAUUUUAUUUAGAAAAUUUGAGGAAUCUUGUUGGGAAUAUGCAGAAGUAUAGAGAUUAUUAUAAAAUGCAAAGACCGUCUUCUCAAUGGUUUUAUUAUCCUUACACUCUGAUCCAUUUAUCAGUAAGCUUGAUAUUGCCUUAUUUUCUUGUAUCCUCUUCUCUAAAUUGCUGAAGUACGAGGUGUUCUUUUCUCCUUGCUCUAUCCACUUCGCUCUCGAUCUCACAAACGCACCUUGAGCUCUUUUGCAAUACAUAUCGUCUAAUUUGGACUGCAAUAUUAAUAGUUUGUCUUUAUCUUCACUGUUUAAUUCUGCCUUAUCACAGUAUUUACUAAUUUCUUGGAACAAGUUACAUUCUUCUCUUCUUUUUUUCAAGGCAAUCUCUUUACUAAACUUUAUGGAACUUUCUCUAAUUCUAUAUUUUACAAAUUCCCAUUUACUGCAAAAACUAUUUAUAGUCUCAUUAUUUUCAAUUUCAAUUAUUAUUUCUUUUAUCUUUGUACAGUAGUCUUUAUUUUUUAACACACUAGCAUUAAAUUUCCAGUAGCCUUUAUUUUUCCUUAUUCUAUCAACUGGAUUUAAUUUCAUUUCUACAAUACAAUGAUCUGUUAGUGAGGCUUUAGAAAUCAAGAUAUCUGAGACAAGUUCUCUAAACGAGUAAUCCACCAGCCAGUAGUCAAUCCUAGAUUUACAGGUAUUAUUCGGUUUAAACCAGGAAUAUUUUUUUACACCUGGAUUUAGAUUUCUCCAAAUAUCUAUCAAGUGAUUUUUUUAUUCAUAAAUUCCCCUAUUGUAUGGUUUAAGUGGUAGCUGUCAAACUUAGUGGGCCAUCUAUCUUCCCAUUCAUCAGGUGUCAUAUUCCAGUCACCUCCCAUUAAAAUAAAGUCUGUAGGAUAAACUAUUUUGAGUUCUGAUAAAGUGUUUGUAAUUUCUUCAAGCAUUUGUUUAUUUUGGGCAACAGUUCUAUGACCAUACACAUUAGUUAGUAUGAAAAAACAACCAUCAAUUUUUAAAACCACCAUCAGCCAAUGACCUUGGUUAUCUGUCCUGUAUGAGAUUAUAUCACCUGGAAACCUAUUAAAACAAACUGCAACACCAGCAGACUUAAUAAAAUAAACAUAAUGCUUUUCUUUUGAAUAAAUCUUUUAGACCCCUCACGUUUUAUGAAGCAAUUGAGACUGAACAAUUGAACAUUGCUGAACAGGAGAUAUUUUAAACGAAGAAACUAAAGAAAAAAAAAAAAAAACAUAUUAAGAACUUAGUUCAAAGCCUAUUUACGCUGAUUAGCAAAUACAACAAUAGUCCCAUGUCCUCUUAACACAUUCCUUCAACCUCUAAUGUCAGUAGAUCAAACCUUUCCUUCGUUUAACCAAUUCGACGACCCUCUAUGUAUCCGUGCAGUCCGCGGUAGUAGGCACGCUUUCCCUCCCGACGAGCCUGUUCAAUCUGCGGCCACAGUUUUUUCCUUGCCUCUCUAUCCUCUAGCGGGACCAUCUCGGUGAGGCGGACACCUUUCUCUCUGCACACCGGGGAAUCCUUGCAGUGACGCUAUAACUCCUGCUUGACAAGUUUCCGGACAAAUAACACAACUACGUGUCUAUUCCUGUUGUCUUCUUUUCGUCCGACUCUGUGCGCAAUAUCAAUUGCUUCUUCGAGUUGUCGCUGUUCCAUGUCAGGGGCGAUCUCCUUGAACAGUUGUAUGACGUCUGUUCUUACGUUUUCGUCCUUUCUUUCUGAUAAACCUUUCAGUUUCAGACACCAUCGCAUCUUAUAUCUCUCCUGGUCCCUGAUUCUUUCUUUAAGCUCUUGAUUUUCUUUGCACAGACGAUCAUUGCACUUUUCUAGCUCGAUGACUUUCCCCUUGCAUUCCUUAACUUCUUCGGCACUGAACUGCACGGCUUUCGAUAGGCUAGCAAUCAUGCUGCUACUCUGCUUAGCUUGCUCUCGAAGUUGCGUCAGUUGCUCAUUAAAGUUCUUCUCCAAACUCUGAAUCGCUUCCAGUAUGGUCAGGUUAGACACCUUGUUUUCCUUUAAUGUAGUCUUGCUCUUUUUCCCAGCUGGAAUCUUGCUCGGAGUUGUUGGCGUAGAGUCUUUUCUUUUACUAAUUGUGUUAACCUCCAUAUCAUAGUCAUGGUCGGCAGAUUGUUCGAGGAUCUUAGUGCUCAUCGCAGCUUGCUUUUUAUCACUGUCUCCUUCUUUAAUUAUCAGUCUGGCUGGUUUGAUCGUACUUUUUAAUUGUUUGGAGAAUUUUUAUAAGCAGAUAGUCAAGAUUUGGGACAAUUUUGCUUCCGUCUCUGACGCGAGCAAGUGUUCAACACGCCAUCUUGCCCGGAAGUCCAAAUUAAAAAGGAAAUUAUACCUGUAUGAUAUUAUACUGGACCAGCGCGGUUUGGAAAAUGAAUGGAUGAUUAAUUCAGCUGCGGGCGCCAUCUCCUGGCGAGACGCGGGAAUUCAUUCAGCACGCGACUCUCACAGUGCAUUAUGGGUAUUCUCUAGCUGUUGAGCGUGCAUCGGUUGUACGCUCGUUAUUGUAGUGCAUUGUGGGAUUGAAUGAGUGCACUCAACGUCAUCCACUAUGGUUUUGGACACCACUACAAAUGGCUGUCCCCUCAAAUAGUGCCCUAUUUAAGAGUAUAGGGGGCGAUUUCGGACACAGCUUGUGAGAAGGUGCGCACUGCAGAGCAAAUGGGUGGAGCUUACGUUAGAUCCCCCUCGCUGGACAUUUAGUGAGGGGGAGCGAAUGUACAACCACACCCUAACCACACCCUAAUCCUACCCACAACUCUAUCCCUCCGCCCACUGGAUGUCCAGAGAGGAGGAGCCGGCCAUCAUAGACUCCUUUUGGUGCUUUUAAGUAAUUUCAAGUUUUAAUAUGUCAGAAUGUUCUUCAAACUCUUGAAGAAAAUGGCUCAUGGAUUUGUUAUGAUUUUUUUAUUGCAUCUGAUUGGUGUCUUUGGUGCUGAUGAAGUGAAGAUGGUGCCAGUGAAGGAGGGAGAUUCAGUCACUCUACACCCUGAUCUUACUGAAGAACAGAAAAAUAUUAAAUUAGAGUGGUCAUUUGGAGUUGUAGUAAUAGCUACAAUCAAUAUAAAAAGUCAGAAUAUCUUAUAUAAUGAAAGUUCUGAUAAGACAGUCAGAGACAGACUGAAGCUGGAUCAUGAGACUGGAUCUCUGACCAUCAAGAACACCAGAACCACAGACACUGGACUUUAUCAGAUACAGACGACUGAAAAACAACUUUGGAGGAAGUCCUUUAGUGUUACUGUCUAUGCUCCUCUGCCCAUUCCUGUCAUUAACAGAUACUGUCCUUCAUCAUCAUCAUCAAAUUGUUCAUUGGUGUGUUCAGUGAUGGAUGUGUCAAGAGCAAAUCUCUCCUGGUACAAAGGAAACAGUUUAUUGUCCAGCAUCAGUGUGUCUGAUCUCAGCAUCAGUCUCUCUCUACAUCUGAAGGUGGAAUAUCAGGAUAAAAACACCUACAGAUGUGUGAUCAACAAUCCCAUCAGACACCAGACUCAACAUAACAUCACUCAACUCUGUCACACAAGUCCCGCUACAGUUUCAGACAAAAUCUGCUAUUGUGGCACUACUGAAACUGUGACCCGAUUGGUUGUCUCUGCUCUGGUGGGCGUGGCUGCUGUGGCAGCUGUGGUUGUUCUUAUCUAUGACAUCAGAUCCAGAAAAGUUGAACAAGAGAGGAGAGAACAGGCAAAUUAGAACUCGAUGAAUCUGAUAUUUUAAAACAAGAAUAGACUGUCUCUCUAUUUUCUCUUCUUUUCUGAACAUUUUUGUUUUUGAAAGUCUGAAGGUUAAACAAACAUUAAACAGAGUUUCAGGACACAAAGACAUUUUAGAGAUACUACUGUAAAAAAUAUAUUUCUUUAACCUUGUAAAUAAAACAAAGAAUAUUGGAGUAUUUUCAGUCUUUCUAUUUUAAUGUCAUGUUUUAUUCAAUGUGUUACUUGCCAUUUCUUUGUAAUUAUUUGUGGAAAUUUUGCAAAAAUUGUUUCUACACCUAAUGUUUUUUCACUGUAACACACCAAAGAUUUAAUUUUCUGUGAUGUAUUAAAAUAUGUUGCAAACAAAUAAAAUAAAAUGUUUGUGUCGGGGUCAGUGAAAAUAA